rnacentral:lncRNA from 1 species
AUGAGCACCAAAGGGACUGGAGCAUUUUCCUACCUCUGUCCCCUCACAGGUGACCUGAUCAGCAUGGCGGCCAUCCCAGGAGGACCCAGUCCCCGCAGGAGCACAGAUGCAGGCCAGCCGGGAACGGCGCUCAUCAGUGUGACAGCCCACCCUGGAGAAAAGACAGUAGAGAUUUCCCAAACUGGCAUCUCAUCCCACUCAAACUCCAUCUCAACCCACAGGAGCUGGCCUGGCCCAUCCCAGAGAGAGGACAGUGGAGGCUUCCCAAACCGGCAUCUCAUCCUGCCCAAAGACACAGGAGCUGGCCUGGCCCAUCCCAGAGAGAGGAUAGUGGAGGCUUCCCAAACCGGCAUCUCAUCCUGCCCAAAGACACAGGAGCUGGCCUGGGUAAGAAGCAGGGCAUUGUGGGGGCAGCGGAAGCGUAGGGCUCACAUCAGAUGGGAGGACAGAGAGGACGAUGCCCUGCCUCACUUCCUUGGGUCCAAUGUCAUCACCCCUAUAGAGUCCCAGGUUUUGUCUGUAUUGUAUGGAGCAGUGCAGAGUCCAUUCGCACAUGGAGGUGCCUCCGUCCAGGACCCGUGGUUUUGCUAUAGCUCCAGUUAUCUCCACAUGCAGUCGUGGCUGUGCCCCAUUAGACAACCACCCCUUCACUCAUUCAUUCUCACCUGCCUGAAAAGAUACUUUUUUUUAAUCUUUCAUGAACUGUAA